UUAGCUCUUUCUUUAGGUCCAUACAUAAUUCUUGUUAUUUGAUCCUUUUCCUUAUAUUACACAGAUUGGUGGCGAGCUCAUGGACUUUAUAGUUGUGCUUCAUGGCUCUAAAGCUGUGAAGGCAUUUAGCAGCAACAUGCAUAUUUCACUUGGUGCAGGUUUGAGCUUUGCUGCAGGACCAGUUGGCAGAGUGUUUGAAGCAGAUCUUCGAGCUGGCGACAAAGGGUCUGGCAUGUGUUAUACAUACAGCUGCAGCAAAGGUGCUUUUGUUGGGGUAUCACUUGAGGGGAACUAUGUAGCAACCAGGACGGAUACAAACUUGUGCUUUUAUGGUGAUCCUUACUUGACCACCAGUGACAUUCUCUUUGGUACUGUCGGGAGACCACAAGCUGCUGAGCCAUUGUACUUGGCAUUGGACGAGCUAUACUCAAAGCUUACAAGUUAGUCUUCCUCGAGGGAUCCCUUGUACAUAUCCAGCUCUCUCCUGGCCGCCUGGUCAUCAUAUAAUCUUUGGUGGCUGCCUACCGAAAGCCAAAAGCCGUAAACAAAUGCUUGCUGUAAUAUCCGUGGCCUACAGAUUAGAAGUGUGCAAAUUGUACAGUCAGGUAGUGUACAUAUAGCAAAAAUAAUGACAAAUCAUUUAACUGAUUCAUGUGUUUCAGCUUUAGAUGAUGAAUGACCAAAAAGGUAAGAUGAAGAAAUUGGUGCUUACA